CUGUUAUUAAAACUAUGAUAUUUUUCAUUUUUAUGAUAAUACAGCAAGAAAGUUUUUUCUAUCACCGUUUUCUUUUUUUCAGAUGAGGAAACAAUAGCAGAAAUUGUAAAUGAAUUGGGAAAGAAUAUAAAAGGUGAUUAGGAUUUUGUGUAUGGACUCAGAUUGCAUGGAUUUACAUCUCAGCUUUGUUAUGUAUUAAUCAUGUCCCAUUAGGAGAAUUAGUUCACCUGUUUAGGCUGCUAUUUCCUCAUUUCUACAAGGGGCACAUAAUCACAAUAUCUCAUUAGUUUGUUAUGAGGAUUAAAUUAUAUAACUCUUAGCACAGUGUCUGGUGAGCAAUAACCCCUCAACAGAUAUUCGUCUUCUUCUUACUAUUAACAGAGCUCAUAACAUAACAUCUAAUAUGCUGAGGCAUGUAUUGAAGCUGAAGUUUGUAUAUGCCUAACUACUUUUGCCUACAUUGCCAUUAACAAAGCUACUUCAGUGUAUGCUACAUGGUUUGGGUGUACAUUUACUUCAACUUGGAGGAAUUCUUUAAAAUUGCAACAGCCACAGCCUUCCAUGUAUUCUCAACUCCACAGAUUCUCCUUUCAUGUCCUCAUUCCACAGAUCAGAUCCUUUGGGGCUAUUUUGAAGUCCUCAGCAAUUCUGUUUGGUAUUCUAGCCUGAGGAAUGCACCAAGUGAGGUGACCUAUUUUAACCUUGGUGGAGUGAAGAAGUGAUGUAGGCCUGACUGAAAAAUAAACCAAAUAUUACAUCCUAUUUGUUUUCCUUC
rnacentral:lncRNA from 12 species